ACGCUCGACACCUACGGGAGACAGCAGUGGGGGAUAUUGCACAAUGGGGGAAACCCUGAUGCAGCAACGCCGCGUGAGGGAAGACGGUUUUCGGAUUGUAAACCUCUGUCAUCGGUGACGAUAAUGACGGUAGCCGAUGAGGAAGCUCCGGCUAACUACGUGCCAGCAGCCACGGUAAUCUGAGCGGGCUGGCAAGGC
rnacentral:rRNA from 1 species